AGUGAACGCUGGCGGUAGGCCUAACACAUGCAAGUCGAACGGCAGCACAGUAAGAGCUUGCUCUUACGGGUGGCGAGUGGCGGACGGGUGAGGAACACAUCGGAAUCUACUUUUUCGUGGGGGAUAACGUAGGGAAACUUACGCUAAUACCGCAUACGACCUACGGGUGAAAGCAGGGGAUCUUCGGACCUUGCGCGAUUGAAUGAGCCGAUGUCGGAUUAGCUAGUUGGCGGGGUAAAGGCCCACCAAGGCGACGAUCCGUAGCUGGUCUGAGACGAUGAUCAGCCACACUGGAACUGAGACACGGUCCAGACUCCUACGGGAGGCAGCAGUGGGGAAUAUUGGACAAAGGGCGCAAGACUGAUCCAGCCAUACCGCGUGGGUGAAGAAGGCCUUCGGGUUGUAAAGCCCUUUUGUUGGGAAAGAAAAGCAGCAGGUUAAUACCCCGCUGUUCUGACGGUACCCAAAGAAUAAGCACCGGCUAACUUCGUG
rnacentral:rRNA from 1 species